rnacentral:rRNA from 2 species
GUGCCAGCAGCCGCGGUAAUACGUAGGUGGCAAGCGUUGUCCGGAAUUAUUGGGCGUAAAGCGCGCGCAGGCGGUUUCUUAAGUCUGAUGUGAAAGCCCCCGGCUCAACCGGGGAGGGUCAUUGGAAACUGGGAAACUUGAGUGCAGAAGAGGAAAGUGGAAUUCCAAGUGUAGCGGUGAAAUGCGUAGAGAUUUGGAGGAACACCAGUGGCGAAGGCGACUUUCUGGUCUGUAACUGACGCUGAGGCGCGAAAGCGUGGGGAGCAAACAGGAUUAGAUACCCUGGUAGUCC